GAUGUUGGUCCUAAGAGCCAGGGGUGAAGAGGGGCUGGCUCUCUGUCCCCUCGUCGCGGGGGUUGCUUCCCCCCCUGCGAUGGAGGUCCCAAGAGCCAAGGGGGGAAGAGGGGCUGGCUCUCAGUCCCUGCCUCGCGGGGGUGCCUCCCGCCCUGGGAUGGGGAUCCAAAGAGCCAGGGGGGUAAAAAGGGCUGGCUCUCAGUCCCCGCCUCACAGAGGGUGCCUCCCCCCCCCGCGAUGGGAGUCCCAAGAAUCAGGGGGCGAAGAGAGGCUGGCUCUCAGCCACCACAAAAUGGGGGGCCUUUAUGUUCAGGUUUUGCCCAAGAGUCAGCUCAUUUGCUUCUUGUACUAGCAGGGGAGUUGCUGCCAAGGCCCUCAAACAGGGGGGCCAUCCUUUAGAAACCCUGUCUAGUUGUUCAGAGACAUAGGCCACCGGCCUCAUCCAAGGCCCCACAGUUUGGGUUAAAAGUCCACCUGCCAUCUUUUCUCUCUCUGACGCAUACAAUGGAAAAGGUUUUGUCAGAUCGGGUAACCCCAGGGCUGAAGCUGCCAGAAGUUUUUCCUUUAACUCAUGAAAGACUUGCUGUUGUUAGGAUCCCCAUUCCAAAGGUUCCCGGUCCCCGCCCCCUUUGUGACCUCAUACAAAGGCUUGGCUUAUAUUGCAAAGUUUGGGAUCCACAGUCUACAAAACCCCACAGCUCCUGAGAAUUCUCUCGCCUGCCUUUGGCCCUUAGGCUCUGGUAGAUUGCAAAUAACAUGCUUUCUUUCUGUUCCCGGGUGGCUUCGGACCCCUGUCGGAUCGGAAAUCCCAAGGAGGCGUCGGACCCCGUCCGAUAGUAAAUCCCAAGUAAGGUACCUGCCGUCGGCAGAUUUGAGCUUUCUGCCUGGACACCUAAUACCCACAGUCCUCCAGUCAAUCCCAAUUAAGGUACCCGCCGUCGGCAGAUUUGAGCUUUCUUCUUGGACACCUAAUACCCACAGUCCUCCAGGCUCUGGUAGAUUGCAAAUGACCUGCUUACUUUCUGUUCCCGGGCUGCGUUCUGACACCUGUUGGACAGUAAAUCCCAAGUAAGGUACCUGCCUUCGGCAGAUUUGAGCUUUCUUCUUGGACACCUAUACCCACAGUCCUCCAGGAGGGUCCUAAGGAUAACUUCAGGAAGUGGGUAUUAAUUCUCACUGUAUAAGUGAAGACAUUAAGCACCAGAGUUUAAGUAGCUUGAUCCACUGAAAGAGAUUCAACUGUGUGGAACCUAUGCCGCGGAGAAUUGCUUUCUGCCAUUGUUAUUGUCCAGCAGUUGCCGAAUAGCUCUGACCUGAGCAAAGCAGUGAAACGCGGUGCUGUUGAGUGGGUUGCCACUGCACCUUUUUCAACUACUCUAGUCUUGUGGAGAAAACACCCCUUCUAAAUUUUUUCUUCAUUGAAUACUCUCCCUCAGCUCCAGGGUACCAUAUAGAGUUUUCUUGUAUUUUAGAGUUACUGUUUUAUCAAAGUGUACCAGUCUUUUGUAUUACAUUUCUCCUGUCUAAAUCAAAAAAAAAAA
rnacentral:lncRNA from 1 species